CAGCUGCCCAUCACCCAAGGCUGACGGAAUCAUCACAGAAUCAGAAGAACGGUUGAGAGAAGAAAAGUAACAGUUGGAUAGAUGAGCCCCGCGCCUUUUUUUUUUGGCGGACACACCAUCCUCCACAUCUGUCUUAACAGUCAUUCACGGCAGAAGCUUAAUCUACAGGUAAUGCAAGCACACCCAUUUUGAAGUAAUGUAAACUUAAGAAAUAAUUUUUUU